rnacentral:rRNA from 1 species
ACUGGCCUACGGGAGGCAGCAGUAGGGAAUCUUCCACAAUGGACGAAAGUCUGAUGGAGCAACGCCGCGUGAGUGAAGAAGGGUUUCGGCUCGUAAAGCUCUGUUGGUAGUGAAGAAAGAUAGAGGUAGUAACUGGCCUUUAUUUGACGGUAAUUACUUAGAAAGUCACGGCUAGCUACGUGCCAGCAGCCGCGGGAAUACGUAGGGGGCAAGCGUUGCCCGGAUUUAUUGGGCGUAAAGCGAGUGCAGGCGGUUUAAAA